ACGAAAAGUGAGGAUCAAGCGCACCACCCCCCGCAGCGGCAUCACGAGACGGACUCGGCUGAUCGCCGUAUCCACCGGCAUCGUGGCCGCAGCCGCGAUCGCGAUCCCCAGCGCGAACGCCUCGGAAACCCCCGCCGCCUUCAGCGCCGCCGAGCUGAACAGUGCCAGCGGCGCGGUGCUCGAGGCCGACGUCCCAGGUACCGCCUGGGCCGUCGACAGCAAGUCCGGCCAGGUACUCCUCACGGUCGACAGCACGGUCUCCCAGGCCGAGAUCGCGAAGAUCAAGAAGGAGGCCGGCGACAAGGCCGGCGCCCUCAAGAUCGAGCGCACUCCCGGCACGUUCAACAAGCUCAUCCAGGGCGGCGACGCCAUCUACGCCAGCAGCUGGCGCUGCUCCCUCGGCU
rnacentral:sRNA from 1 species